AACGUAGGAGACAAACGUUAUCCGGAGUUACUGGGCGUAAAGGGCUCGUAGGUGGCCAACUAAGUCAGACGUGAAAUCCCUCGGCUUAACCGGGGAACUGCGUCUGAUACUGGAUGGCUUGAGUUCGGGAGAGGGAUGCGGAAUUCCAGGUGUAGCGGUGAAAUGCGUAGAUAUCUGGAGGAACACCGGUGGCGAAGGCGGGUCUCUGGGCCGUAACUGACGCUGAGGAGCGAAAGCGUGGGGAGCGAACAGG
rnacentral:rRNA from 1 species